AGUGAACUUCGUUUGAAGCGGAAAUCCUUUUUUUGAGCUUUUUCUGCUCAAAAAAAGAUUGGGAGCGGAUAGCCCGGUCCGCC
rnacentral:sRNA from 1 species